rnacentral:lncRNA from 1 species
UGAAAUUUUGAAUGAUAAUUGGUCCCCAAAGAUUGAGGCUCAAGGUGAUCUAAGCUUUCUUCCCAUUCCACCUUAACUUGUUUAAUCUUGCUUUCUUUUGCUUGACACAAACAUUUUGCCCUGUCUGUCGUAAUUUCCACUUUCAUCUUUCACUUUCUCGUUUUACAUAAUAUGAAAUGCUAGUCCUGAAGAUGAUUAUUUGUUUGGGGGAGUGAAUUUUGCUGGUAUGAUGCUAGUGACUGUCCAUUACAACUGGAAGCAAUAUUAAGAUGAAAAUACAUUAUGCUUUGCUCUUUUUUCUUUUGGAGUUUAGAACAUUUCCUAUUGAGAAAUAUUUUAUUUUUUGUUCUCAUUUGGAUGUAUAAUAUUUUUCUCUCUUUUCCUGUUUAUUUUUUCAGUUUUAGAUCUUCCAAGUGAUGGAGAGCUGGCGUUGAAAUAAUGGAUCAAAGUUUAACCUCGUCAGAAUGAUGUAAACCUUUUUUGGACACAUUAGAUGAUGUUAAACCUUACAACCUAAGUGAUUAUAACCGGCUAUCCUUGUGCAUUGCGAGUUCAUUUUCGUGUAUUGGUACUAUUUAAUUCAACCCCAGACCCCACCUGGUGGGAAUAUACUGGGUAGUUGUUGUUGUUGUUGUUGUUGUUGUUGUUGUUGUUGUUGUUGUACUAUUUAAUUCAACAGCCCUAAAUUUUUUCGAUAUGUGGAAAAAUUAGAAGACCAAGACAAGAAAUCAUUCAUCUUUUAGGGUGUGUUUGGUAUAAUGGAAAAUGUUUUCCGUGAAAAAUGUUUUCCGAGAAAAUGUUUUCUUGGAAAACAAGUAGUAAUCUUAUUCAUUUUACGGUGUUUGGUAUGCAAAUUGAGGAAAGUAACUUCUCAAAAGUAUUCAUAAAUAAUGUAGAUACAAUAAACAUGAAGCCAUAAACUUUCGAACCAACAACCUUCCGAACCCACAAGAAAAAAAACUUUCUGGAGUGGUGAUAGAAAAAAAACUGAAAUUUGGAAAAAAAACCCUUUUGGAGAAAGGUGGUGGGGCGGGGAAGGUUGUGAAGGAGUUUUGGAAAACAUUUUCCCUUCUCUUGGAGGAAAUGAGUUCAUAAGGAAAAUGUUUUCCAAAAUAUUUAAGCCAACCAAACAUGGGAAAGUUGGAAAAUAUUUUCUGGAAAAUGUUUUCAAUCAUUCCAAACACACCCUUAUUGUUGAAAAGAGUUUACUGGCUGCUGUUGGGGAGUGUUUUCUUAUUGAAGUCUUUAGUGGAAGUUGAUGAUUAGCUUCAGUGUGAUGACUAUUUUUAUUCAUUUAGAUGAGGCUGCUUCCGUUGGAUUGAAUUGAGUAUCUCUAAUCUAAACAAGGAAAUGGAUAAAAUGUGGAUUAUGAAGAGAAUCGAGACGAAACAGCAUCCCAUGGGGCGGCCAUAGCUUGAACCUUCCUUCUCGCAGUCAGCUAUAUAACUCAGGCAGCAAAGGUUCGAGCAGGAUGGCGGUUAGUCUUCCUCGUCUCUUUCGGGUGGGCGGCGGGAAUAGCUCUUCUAGCAUCAGCAUGGAUUGACCAGAGACUGGGAGUAGUCGUCAUCUUUUU